ensembl:lncRNA
CCAAGACAUUAAUUGAUGGACUGGACUGACAUCGAUUACGUUUGGAUUUUUGUGAUGUUUUUAUCAGCCGUUCAGACUCACUGCAGAGGAACCAUUGGUCAACAAGCAACGUAAUGCUACAUUUCUCCAAGUCUGUUCUGAUGAAGAAACAAACCCAUCUACAUCUCAGAUGGCCUGAGGGGCUUAACAGUAUUUCCAGAUGUUCCUGCAGUAAUGCUGCCAUCAGACUGGAGCAGGAGGAAAGGGACAAUGUUUGUUUUCAGGUGAUUUUUCUCCCCUGUAUUUACACAGAUUUCUUUAGUUUCCAAACUUAAGUAUCACCCAUGAAAAUAGUGUAAAUCCUAGGAAACAUUACCAUUUUUUUUUCAAAUAUUAUUUGAAUGUUUUAACUACCAUAACAUCUUCCUACAUUUGUAAAGUGAUUUGUAAGGUAUCGAAGCAGUUUUCAACCAAAAAUAAAAGUGCUACAGUUUUACAUACAAGACCAAAGAAAUUAAACAUUUGUAUUAGUAAAUAUUAAUAUUUUUCUGUAAAGUAAAAUUAAAGCAUGAAAUGAAUGAAUAAAGAAAUAAAAUGGUAUAUAAAAAAUAUUAUAAUAGUUAUAAUAAUGUUAUAUUAGUUCUUUUUUAUUUUUGACUUGGG